CAGGCUGUUACUGCUGGAUCUGCUGGACUCUGUCAGACACAGGCAUUACUGCUGGAAUCUGCUGGACUUUCGUCAGAAAGCAGGCUGUUACUGCUGGAAUCUGCUGGACUUUCUGUCAGAAAGCAGGCGGUUACUGCUGGAAUCUGCUGGACUUUCUGUCAGACAGCAGCUGUUACUGCUGAAUCGGCUGGACUUCGUCAGGCAGCAGGCUGUUACUGCUGGAAUCUGCUGGACUUUCUGUCAGACAGCAGGCAGUUACUGCUGGAAUCUGCUGGACUUUCUGUCAGGCAGCAGACUGUUACUGCUGGAAUCUGCUGGACAUUCUGUCAGGCAGCAGGCUGUUACUGCUGGACUUUCUGUCAGGCAGCAGGCUGUUACUGUUGGAAUCUGCUGGACUUUCUGUCAGGCAGCAGGCAGUUACUUCUGGAAUCUGCUGGACUUUCUGUCAGGCAGCAUGCUGUUACUGCUGGAAUCUGCUGGACUUUCUGUCAGGCAGCAGGCUGUUACUGCUGGACUUUCUGUCAGACAGCAGGCUGUUACUGCUGGACUUUCUGUCAGGCAGCAAGCAGUUACUGCUGGAAUCUGCUGGACUUCUGUCAGACAGCAGGCUGUUACUGCUGGAAUCUGCUGGACUUUCUGUCAGGCAGCAGGCUGUUACUGCUGGAAUCUGCUGGACUUUCUGUCAGGAGC
rnacentral:lncRNA from 1 species